rnacentral:lncRNA from 1 species
UUCUAAAGUGUUAUUUUGGAGGUCUGUAUUUUGGGGACUUUUGGAUUAUAGUUUUUUAGUUGUUUCUAAUGGGAGAUGAUAGUAAAAUCCUUGUUAAACUUUUACUAGGUUCCUUUAUAGGUAAUCUCUUUUCUAAUUAAAAAAAUUUUUUUAUUGGAGUGUAGUUGCUUAUAGGCAAUCUCUUAAAGAAGCUAUCUUCUUAUACUAGUUUCUGACCUUGUUCUAUUUUAGAUUCUUUUCCUCUUUUUCAUCAUCUUCAUCGUCCUCUUAGCACCUGUGCGGAAAGCAUGCAGUUACACCCCAAACAUAUCUGGAGUAGAGCAGAAAAAUUAUUAUGCCUGUGUUCCCUUGGGACUCACUGGAAAUUGUACAGUGACAUCUUCUGGGAUUUAGGCUGGAG